rnacentral:ribozyme from 14 species
UUGUUUUUCCUUUUUUUUUUUUUGUUUUUUCCAUUUGCGUGUGUGUGGUUGGUUCUGAGUGGGAGGAUUUGGCAAACGAUGAAGAUGGG